CUUAAAUGAACCCAUUUCAGCCACUUUCACCCUCAUAACCUAAACACAACAGCAGCUGAAGUGAGGAGAGAGGUGAGAGCUUUUCACCAUUGUUACUAUUCACUUCAAACUUCCCAAGCUCAUAUCUUGAGCUACGGAGCUCCGAUCGCCGCACCGUUUGCGGCUACGUGUUCCUUGUGAAGAGCUCUACAAAAUCCACCCAAGAAACCCUCAAGAUAAUCACGAAAUCUUCCCAUUUCUCUCUUCAAAAUUUCGGGUUUUAUUAGAGUUUUGGGUUAAAUGGGUUUUUGUGAUUUUGGAUGUUUAGUUUGAUUAUUGUGGCUUUGGGAGCUUUUGGAACUUAUUUGUGCUUGUUGGAGUGGAUUUGAAAGCUUGGAUUGUGGUUGGAAGCUUGUUGGUGCUCAUUUUGAGUUUGGGUGCAUAAAGGGAAUCGGCCAAGAUGCAGGUCGCAACCCACCUCGGUGAGUUGCUUUGGUUGGUGACAGGAGCAGAGAAUCUUGGAUCAUUUUGGAGUUCUUUUUGGUUUAUUUUGUUUAUACAUCUCUCCUUUUGUAUUUUAUUUUGCCUAGAGGCAUGUAUUUGAGAGAACAAAACUUGUAUAAGCUGUUUUCACUGUAUGGUUUUGUAUAUCAGUAUAUGGCUAGCCGGCUUAAACUCCGCGAGUCGUGACUAGUUCCCUAUGAUAUUAUAUACUUAUCUUUU